UACGUAGGGGGCAAGCGUUAUCCGGAUUUACUGGGUGUAAAGGGAGCGUAGACGGCAGCGCAAGUCUGGAGUGAAAUCCCAUGGCUUAACCAUGGUACUGCUCUGGAAACUGUGGAGCUUGAGUGCGGGAGGGGCAGGCGGAAUUCCUAGUGUAGCGGUGAAAUGCGUAGAUAUUACUCAGAACACCGAUUGCGCAGGCAGCUUGCUAAUCCGCAUCUGACGCUGAUGCACGAAAGCGUGGGUAGCGAACAGG
rnacentral:rRNA from 1 species